UCCUUUCUACCUUUCUGCCUCUCUCAGUAAAGGCUGUUAUUAAGUAACAAAUUCGGGUGGGUCAAGGGCAGAGUAACCAAGAGAUCUCAGCAAGCAUGAGGGAGAUUCAAGGAGCUGGCAUUGUGUGACUGGGGACAGAAAAGCCCUCAUGCAGGCAGGCGGGUCACAAUUGUUCCCUUCAGAUUUCUGAGGGGCUGCCUUGGUGGGAGAGGGGGUAGUUCAGUUCUGUGGGGCUCCAGGGGGCAAAAGGCAUGAUAAAUGAGUAGAAGUCAUGGAGAGGUGGAGCUUGCCUCCAGACAGAAUGCUAAGAAGGAUGCUGCUGCACAGUGGGGACUGAGCCAACUCACUGUUCAACAAAUAAGCAUUGGAGGGUCUCUAGUUCCAUAGAAAGAAGGCAAAUGAAGAGGACAGAAGAAGGAGAGAGACCUUCCCACCCCAUCAGCCCUAUGCUGCAGAGAGGGAUCCCACAUCUACUUCUCUUGCAGAAACCAACUGGUGGAAGUGACCUUCUCAUGGAGUGUCCUUCACAAGAUCUGGCACAUUUUCCAGCUGCCUGUAGGUAUUCUGGAAGCGUUGGUGGUUUCAGUGGCAAAAACAUCAAGGGCUCUGCGGUGAUUACUUCUGGAGAGGCAGCUGCGGGGAGCACCAUGUUCAAGUGCAGGAGCACCAGCUGGGAGUCUACUCCGCCCCGACUGCCAGUGGGGCCUCGGCAAUUUGUUUUCCCCUAUGGAGUCCAAGUUUCCCAACUCAUUCUUUCCUCUCAUCAAUGAAGAGUCAGUAAGCACAGACGCUGUGCCAGGAAUCAUGAGAGGUAUUGCUAUGGGAAAGAUGACCAGACUCAAACCACCCACAGAGAGGAAGAGAGACAUGGAAAUCACCUCCAUAAAACAUAAUGGAUGCAUGCCCACUAGGAUGGCUAAAAUUAAAAAGACAGAUAAUAUGACGUGUUGGCAAAGAUAUGGAGAAAGUGGGCCCCUCGUAGGAUGCUAAAUGCCCAGAAUAGGCAAAUCUAUAGAAACAAAGAUUAGUGGUUGGUUCAGGCUAAUGGCAGGGGGUUUGGAGCAAAAUGGGGAGAGAUACUACAGGUUCCUUUUCGGGGUGAUAAAAAUGUUCUAAAAUAAAAUUGUGAUGAUGGUUGAACAACCCUGUGACUAUAUGGAAAACAGGGAAUUGUACACUUGAAGUGGGUGAAUUGUAUGUGAAUUGUAUCUCAAAACUAUUCAUAAAAAGUAAUGGCAAUGAUGAUAUUUGGAUGGAUCCACUGGAUUGUGGGGGAAGGAUCCAGAGGGAGAAGAACCAGUGGUACUUGUGGGGGAUGGCCAGGGAGGCUUUCUGAAAGAAUCGACUCAGGGCGAGUCUUGAAGUAGAUGUGACUCGAGAAAGGAAAGGGGAGACCAUGUGAGCAAAGCCAUGGAGGCAUGAAGGAUCUGUAAGGUGGUUCCAUACAGCCGGAGCUGGGGUGCAUGGAGGAGGGAGAGGAUGAGGGGCAGGUGGGGAAUGGGACUUGGAAGGCGAGGGAAGUCUGGGCAUAGAGGACUUCCAAUGUCACAUUAGAGCUGGGCUUUAUCCUGCACAUUUUCUCUGUGCCUUGAGGAUGCUGAUAGCAUCACUUACAAGAUCUUGUUUGGUUCUUGACUUAUAUGACUACGGACCAGGCUAUUUCUAGACCACAAAUCUUAGCUCUGCCUCUUGAAGACUGUGUGGCUUUGCCAUGAGAGGAGUCACAAGUGUCAGUGGAUAUCAGGAAGGCUGUCCAUGCUCUCAUGCCUGGGAUAAUGGGGACAACGGGGUUAUGAGCAUGGGCUGGGCUCAGGCAGGGUGGGGCAGCCCCAUCU
rnacentral:lncRNA from 1 species